rnacentral:rRNA from 1 species
GACGAACGCUGGCGGCGUGCCUAAUACAUGCAAGUAGAACGCUGAAGGAGGAGCUUGCUUCUCUGGAUGAGUUGCGAACGGGUGAGUAACGCGUAGGUAACCUGCCUGGUAGCGGGGGAUAACUAUUGGAAACGAUAGCUAAUACCGCAUAAUAGUAGAUGUCGCAUGACAUUUGCUUAAAAGGUGCAAUUGCAUCACUACCAGAUGGACCUGCGUUGUAUUAGCUAGUUGGUGAGGUAACGGCUCACCAAGGCAACGAUACAUAGCCGACCUGAGAGGGUGAUCGGCCACACUGGGACUGAGACACGGCCCAGACUCCUACGGGAGGCAGCAGUAGGGAAUCUUCGGCAAUGGACGGAAGUCGGACCGAGCAACGCCGCGUGAGUGAAGAAGGUUUUCGGAUCGUAAAGCUCUGUUGUAAGAGAAGAACGAGUGUGAGAGUGGAAAGUUCACACUGUGACGGUAUCUUACCAGAAAGGGACGGCUAACUACGUG